GACGAACGCUGGCGGCGUGCCUAACACAUGCAGGUCGAACGAAGAAUGUUUUUCGGAAUAUUCUUAGUGGCGGACGGGUGAGUAACGCGUGAACAAUCUGCCCCGUACAAAGGGAUAGCCUCGGGAAACCGGGAUUAAAACCAUAUAACACUUAACUGCCGCAUGGUAGUGAAGUCAAAUCGAUUAAGAGGUAUGGGAUGAGUUCGCGUCUGAUUAGCUAGUUGGUGAGGUAAGGGCUCACCAAGGCGACGAUCAGUAGCCGGCCUGAGAGGGUGAACGGCCACACUGGAACUGAGACACGGUCCAGACUCCUACGGGAGGCAGCAGUGGGGAAUAUUGCACAAUGGAGGGAACUCUGAUGCAGCGACGCCGCGUGAGUGAAGAAGGUCUUCGGAUCGUAAAACUCUGUCCUUGGUGAAGAAAAGGACGGUAGCCAAGGAGGAAGCCCGGCUAACUACGUG
rnacentral:rRNA from 1 species